rnacentral:rRNA from 1 species
UCAAUGAAAUAAAUAGCCGCAAACGUGCUAAGGUAGCAUAAUCACUCGCCUUUUAAUUUAAGGAUAGAAUGAAAGAUUAAACAAUUAAAUUUCUUUAUUAAUAAUAUAUAUUUAAAUUUUAUUAAAUAUAAAAAUAUAUUUAUAUAUAAAAAAGACGAUAAGACCCUAUUGAACUUUACUUCAGUUUAGUUGGGGAAACUAAUUAAUUAUAAUUUUAAUUUUUUCUAAUUAACAAAAAUCUAUUUAAAUAAAAAUAAAAGCUACCAUAGGGAUAACAGCGCAACUAAAUUUUAAAGCUCUUAUUCAAAAUUUUCUUACGACCUCGAUGUUGAAUUAUAAUUUCUUAUAUAAGUAAAAAUAUAUAAAGCUAGUCGUCGA